ACUCCUACGGGAGGCAGCAGUGGGGAAUAUUGGCACAAUGGGCGCAAGCCUGAUGCAGCCAUGCCGCGUGUGUGAAGAAGGCCUUCGGGGUUGUUAAAAGCACUUUCAGUUCGUGAGGGAAGGUAGUGUAGUUAAUAGCUGCAUUAUUUGACGUUAGCGACAGAAGAAGCACCGGCUAACUCCGUGCCAGCAGCCGCGGUAAUACGGAGGGUGCGAGCGUUAAUCGGAAUUACUGGGCGUUAAAGCGCAUGUCAGGUGGUUUGUUAAGUCAGAUGUGAAAGCCCGGGGCUCAACCUCGGAAUUGCAUUUGAAACUGGCAGACUAGAGUACUGUAGAGGGGGUGAAAUUUAUCAGGUGUAGCAGGUGAAAUGCGUAGAGAUCUGAA
rnacentral:rRNA from 1 species